GGUAAGACGAGGGAUCCUAGCGUUGCUCGGAAUUAUUGGGCGUAGAGCGGGUGUAGGCGGACUUAUAAGUCAGGUGUGAAAUCCCAGGGUUCAACCCUGGAAGUGCACUUGAUACUGUAAGUCUUGAGUGUGGUAGGGGCUAUUAGAAUUCCUGGUGUAGUGGUGAAAUACGUAGAUAUCAGGAGGAAUACCGGAGGCGAAGGCGGAUAGCUGGGCCAACACUGACGCUGAGACCCGAAAGCGU
rnacentral:rRNA from 1 species